UUUAAAAGUUAGUCUAAAAAGGUACAGCCUUGUUAGAAACGGAUACAACCUUGACUAGAGAGUAAAAUUUNACACUACCAUAGUAGGCCUAAAAGCAGCCAUCAAUUAAGAAAGCGUUAAAGCUCAACGACGAAAUUAAAUAGAUUCCACACAGAUGAUUUAACUCCUAGCCCCAAUACCUGGACUAAUCUAUUAUAGAAUAGAAGCAAUAAUGUUAAUAUGAGUAACAAGAAAAAUUUUCUCCUUGCAUAAGUCUAAGUCAGUGCCUGAUAAUACUCUGACCAAGCUAACAGUCAAUAAAAAUAAUCCAACAAUAACAAUUUAUUGAUUAUACUGUUAACCCAAACACAGGAGUGCAUCUAAGGAAAGAUUAAAAGAAGUAAAAGGAACUCGGCAAACACAAACCCCGC
rnacentral:rRNA from 1 species